GCUUACGGCCACACCGCCUGGUUCACGCACGAUCUCGUUUGAUCUCGGAAGAUAAGAUAGGGUGGGCCUGGUUAGUACCUGGAUGGGAGACCGCCUGGGAUUACCAGGUGCUGUAAGCU
ensembl:rRNA 5S_rRNA 5S ribosomal RNA